ACAUCGCACAAAGCUUGAGACAAUUUAUUUUGUGUCGUACCUGCCCGGUGGAUAAUUUCUAAACGGCUGCGGUACCCUGACCGUGCAAAGGUAGCAUAAUCACUUGCCUUUUAAUUGGUGGCUGGAAUGAAUGGUGUGUCAGUGCCUCGACUGUCUCUUUUGGCUUCACUCUAAAUUAACCUGCAGGUGAAGAGGCCUGCAUAAUGCAAAAGGACGAGAAGACCCUAUUGAGCUAGGCUAUUUGUCUAAAUUAUUUUGGCAAAAGCAUUGAUUGGGGCGAUCAAGGAAUAAGGAAACCUUCCUAUUAACUAGUAAUAUCAAAAAAUAAGAACCAGCCUUUGGGCUGAAAGAGGAUUAGCUACCAUAGGGAUAACAGCACUAUCCCCUUCUAGAGGCCUUAUUGAAAAGGGGGAUUAUGACCUCGAUGUUGGACUAAGGUGACUGGGUGGUGCAGCAGCUACCUACAGUGAGCCUGUUCGGCUAUUAAAACCUUAC
rnacentral:rRNA from 1 species